rnacentral:lncRNA from 15 species
GGUCAUGUGAUCUUUAUUCUCACUAACCAUGUAAAUUGUAAGCAGUGCAAGAAGUAGUUAAUAUUGGUUGGACUCUUAAUGGAUCCAGCUCAAACUGUAGUCUGAAGACCUGAUGUUUGAUGAUCUGAAAUAUUACUGUAGACACAUAUAAGACUGUUUUCUGUCUGUAUUCAUUCAUUUGCUGCUGUUUUACCUUUUAGAGACUUAAUAUGAAAGCUGAAGCUCUUGUUGCAGCACUUCCUUUAUAGGAGAGUUCACACCUGUCCUUAGCUGUGAGGGUUUGAGGUUUAUGAACCAGAGAACAGAGUAUAGAGGUCUGUGUGUCCUCCCUUCAGUACAUCAUGUUGUACUCUACCAGCAGCAGUUGUUUUUUGACCAGUAUGGCAAAACUGAAACUGUUCUUUGUUCUUCUUCUGCCACUAACUGUGAGUUCUGACACUGAAGAGACUCUUGUGAAAACCAUUGGGAACAAACCAGAUGUGACUCCAAUCUGCACCAAUGAAACACAGAAGAUCAUCACACUUGUAGUUUGUAAGAUCAGAACACAGAUGAGAGGAGAAGAGUGUCGUCUGACAUAUUAUCUUGGAAAGGGUUUUAUACCUGAAUGUGACUCCAGAUUCACACUUAUGAUGGAGAAUCAAACUAUGUUUCUCCACCUGACCAGUUUAACACCAGUGGAUAGUGGGAACUUCACCUGUGAGUGUUCCUUUCCUGGUGGAACAUAUAUUCUCUAUCUGAAUAUCACUGUGGAAGAAGAUGAAGACGUCAGAAAUUCAACAGUAACUCUACAUGUUUUGAUUGGUGUAACUACAGUCACCAUAAUAACUGUAGUUAUUCUGGGAUUAAUCUACAGAAGAAUACGUCUUGGAAAACAUCCAGUACCACAGAGUAGUCCUGCAAACUCGGAGCUUCAGGACAUCGAGCCGUACAGCACCUUCAUGAGGAGAGAGAGUGGGCUUUACUCUACUGUCAGAGUCAACACUAAUGCCAAUUAUUCAAACAUGUCCACCAGAGAGGACACACAUAGCAGGAAGUUUUUGUAG